GUUUUUUUCCAUUGUUAAAAGAUUAGUAAGAACCAUGAAAACUUAACUUUUAGUAGGCCUAGUGUAAAUAUGGGCAUGCUUUGCAAAUGAAAUUCCCAAAUGACCCAAACCCCACCUAUAAGUUGAAAUUUCAAACAAAAGCUUCAACAAGAUAAUUUCUAAUUCUAGACUAGUCUCGCAUGUUUCAUAUGAUAAUGUUAGUGUCAAAUUAAUUAUCCAUAAAUAUGGUUCCAUUUUAUAAAACUUUCCAUUUUGAAUCAUCCUCAUAUAACACUUUCUGUUAGUGCUAUUAAGCACAUAGAACUACUUCAUGUUUCAUAUGAUUGUUAGUAUCAAACUGAUUAU
rnacentral:misc_RNA from 1 species